rnacentral:rRNA from 1 species
GACAGAGGUGCCGAGCGUUAGGCGGAAUCACUGGGCUUAAAGCGUGUGUAGGCGGAUCGUUAAGUACCUUGUGAAAUCCCACGGCUUAACCGUGGAACUGCUUGGUAUACUGGCGGUCUUGAGCCAGCUAGGGGCUACCGGAACAAAUGGUGGAGCGGUGAAAUGCGUAGAUAUCAUUUGGAACGCCAAUGGUGAAAACAGGUAGCUGGGGCUGUGCUGACGCUGAGACACGAAAGCCAGGGGAGCAAACGGGG